rnacentral:rRNA from 3 species
UGGUGACCAUAGCGAGUUGGAACCACCCCUUCCCAUCCCGAACAGGUCCGUGAAACGACUCCGCGCCGAUGAUAGUGCGGAUUACCCGUGUGAAAGUAGGUCAUCGCCAGGCU